UUUCGUGACAGGAGUGGCACAAAUGCAGAGUGAGUUACUCAUUUAUCUUUUCUUGCCAUGCAAGUUGAUCGGUCAACUGGUAUUUGUAUUUUGCUAUGUGGGAUUAGCUGUACUGUUUCUUCCAAGUUAUGCACUUGUUUCCUGUGCUACUAUUAUGUCGUUCCUGUACUGCCUUUUGCUUGUUAUAGUUUCAGAUCUUUAGGAUAUCUGUCUUGCGAUCUUUGAGAAUGUUCAGUGAUUGGUUUAUGUUCAUGAUUACUAUGCAUGGAACACUGGUAUGUUGCUGUCCUGGUGAGAAAUCUUAUAGUGGUGCUACUGAUUUUACCACCUUGCUUUGCGCUCAACAAAUGUAUAUAAUCUGUUGCUGUCGACUUUGAGCCAAGCCAAAGAAGAGAGGAAGGCUGAAGCAUGCAAGUGAUUUCCUAAAGUAUUGACGGACAACGUAGUUUUGUGUGAGCUGUGAUAGUUGAGUGUAGUAGAUUCAGGAAUCCGACAACACUUGUCUUGAAUUUUAUUUUACCGUACUUAUGUACCAUUUGAGUAUUAUGAAGUGACCUUUAUAUGAUGGUGAAGCUGAUUGAUGGCCACCAGUCAACUUAGUAUGGUGAUGUAGGAUUUAAUUAAUGUUGAUUUUGUAUGUUCAAUUUA